rnacentral:rRNA from 1 species
GACGAACGCUGGCGGCGUGCUUAACACAUGCAAGUCGAACGGAAAGGCCCUGCUUUUGUGGGGUGCUCGAGUGGCGAACGGGUGAGUAACACGUGAGUAACCUGCCCUUGACUUUGGGAUAACUUCAGGAAACUGGGGCUAAUACCGGAUAGGAGCUCCUGCUGCAUGGUGGGGGUUGGAAAGUUUCGGCGGUUGGGGAUGGACUCGCGGCUUAUCAGCUUGUUGGUGGGGGAGUGGCUUACCAAGGCUUUGACGGGUAGCCGGCCUGAGAGGGUGACCGGCCACAUUGGGACUGAGAUACGGCCCAGACUCCUACGGGAGGCAGCAGUGGGGAAUAUUGCACAAUGGGUGGAAGCCUGAUGCAGCAACGCCGCGUGCGGGAUGACGGCCUUCGGGUUGUAAACCGCUUUCGCCUGUGACGAAGCGUGAGUGACGGUAAUGGGUAAAGAAGCACCGGCUAACUACGUG